GCCGCCGCCCCUGCUCGCCAACCCCAGCGGUUCAAACAUUAGCUCGUUUUCACUGCUACUGCAUUGGGUUCUGCAUAGUUCUUCCUUGGUUGUUUGAUGUAAACCACAGCUGGGGAGCUUAGCUGUAUAGAACUGAUUUCACGUGUUUGUUGACGAGUUUAGCUGCAUAGGUACCGAUGAGUUUGUCCUGAACAGAAAUUUUAUUUGGAUUCAGUUCGGUGAGCUCUUAAUUGUGUCCUACCCACAUCCCUCUGCAUCCCUCUGCAGGGUGCAAGAACUGUGCUAACGUGUGUUCUAAGGUCUUCCAAAUCGAGGAUGAUUUCGGACGGGCAAGAGUUUACGACCAAUCAGGCAGCACAGAACUGAUUCAAGAAGCUAUUGACAGUUGGCAAGUUCACGCUGGGAGAAAAGACAAGCCAAAGUCCUGGAGAAGGUAAGAAGGCGGAUGAGCCAAGAUGAUUCCAGAAAGGGUGGCUCAUGGAGUGACAUCUGGGGAGCACCAACAAGAUACGAGAAGAACGGUACAUCCCAUUACUAAAGGAGACAUUUAUGUUCCCACAAAGCUUGGGCAUUUUAGGUGGAAAACCUGGUACAUCAACAUACAUUGCUGGGGUACAGGAUGAUAGGGCUCUCUACCUAGAUCCCCAUGAAGUUCAGAUGGUAAACCUGCAUACAUUUUAUAUUUAC